AUUGAACGCUGGCGGCAGGCCUAACACAUGCAAGUCGAACGAGUGGCGGACGGGUGAGUAAUGUCUGGGAAACUGCCCGAUGGAGGGGGAUAACUACUGGAAACGGUAGCUAAUACCGCAUACCAUCGGAUGUGCCCAGAUGUGAUUAGCUAGUAGGUGGGGUAACGGCUCACCUAGGCGACGAUCCCUAGCUGGUCUGAGAGGAUGACCAGCCAAACUGGAACUGUGACACGGUCCAGACUACUACGGGAGGCAGCAGUGGGGAAUAGUGCACAGUGGGCGCAAGCCUGUGGCAGCCAUGCCGCGUGUAUGAAGAAGGCCUUCGGGUUUUAAAGUACUUUCAGCGAGGAGGCGGUACUCGAAGAAGAAGAACCGGCUAACUCCGUGCCAGCAGCCGCGGUAAUAC
rnacentral:rRNA from 1 species